GCAUAUCAAUAAGCGGAGGAAAAGAAAAUUACAAUGAUUUCCCUAGUAACGGCGAGUGAAGAGGAAAGAGCUCAAAGUUGGAAACUGUUUGGCUUAGCUAAACCGUAUUGUAAACUGUAGAAACAUUUUCCUGGCACGCCGGAUUAAUAAGUCCUUUGGAACAAGGCAUCAUGGAGGGUGAGAAUCCCGUCUUUGAUCCGAGUAGUUGUCUUUUGUGAUAUGUUUUCAAAGAGUCAGGUUGUUUGGGAAUGCAGCCUAAAUUGGGUGGUAAAUCUCACCUAAAGCUAAAUAUUUGCGAGAGACCGAUAGCGAACAAGUACCGUGAGGGAAAGAUGAAAAGAACUUUGAAAAGAGAGUUAAACAGUAUGUGAAAUUGUUAAAAGGGAACCGUUUGGAGCCAGACUGGUUUGACUGUAAUCAACCUAGAAUUCGUUCUGGGUGCACUUGCAGUCUAUACCUGCCAACAACAGUUUGAUUUGGAGGAAAAAAUUAGUAGGAAUGUAGCCUCUCGAGGUGUUAUAGCCUACUAUCAUACUCUGGAUUGGACUGAGGAACGCAGCGAAUGCCAUUAGGCGAGAUUGCUGGGUGCUUUCGCUAAUAAAUGUUAGAAUUUCUGCUUCGGGUGGUGCUAAUGUUUAAAGGAGGAACACAUCUAGUAUAUUUUUUAUUCGCUUAGGUUGUUGGCUUAAUGACUCUAAAUGACCCGUCUUGAAACACGGACCAAGGAGUCCACCAUAAGUGCAAGUAUUUGAGUGACAAACUCAUAUGCGUAAGGAAACUGAUUGAUACGAAAUCUUUUGAUGGCAGUAUCACCCGGCGUUGACGUUUUAUACUGAACUGACCGAGGUAAAGCACUUAUGAUGGGACCCGAAAGAUGGUGAACUAUGCCUGAAUAGGGUGAAGCCAGAGGAAACUCUGGUGGAGGCUCGUAGCGAUUCUGACGUGCAAAUCGAUCGUCAAAUUUGGGUAUAGGGGCGAAAGACUAAUCGAACCAUCUAGUAGCUGGUUCCUGC
rnacentral:rRNA from 1 species